ensembl:lncRNA
GGGGACCUGUUAGCAAGCCAGAAGACAACACCUCUGCAAAUGGCUGCUGCAACUCCAAGUUCUACAUUUUCAUACAAGGCAGAAAGAUGAAGGAAACUGUGCUGAAAUUUGCAUCAAUCUCUUUCAUCAGGAAAGCAAGAAAGUUUCUCCCAAAUCCUUUCAGCAGACUUCAAUGCAAGCCUCACUGGCCAAAAGCUUCUGACAUGACCAUUCCCCAAUGUCAGAUAGUUUGAUGGGACAGAGUUGAUAUUUCUGGCCACGGUCCUGGAAGACAGUCAGAGAAGAAAUGGCCAGUGGGCCGCCUGGGACAUCCACACCUCUCCUCCUGUACUUGCCAUUUCCUUUGGACUGCAAGCUCUCUACGAGCAAGGAUUUGCCUUGUCUGUGUUCAUGAAUUAGUCAGUUACUCAGGAGCCAUGUGGUCAUUUAUUUGAGGGGAAGGGGAACAAACGGAUUGCAGAGGAACAUCUUGGCUGAAAACAUACUGGAGAAGUUUAAGGAAGAACUUGAGACUCUUCACACCAAGGAGCAAAAUCAACUUGCUCAGACAUGUGAAAAGCAUGGAGAAAGUGUGAAUCUGAUGUGCCUAAGUGAUGAAGAACCAAUAUGUGGAAUGUGCAAGCUCUUUGGGGACCACAAGACUCACCCAGUAGCCAAGAUUUCUGAUGCCUAUGCAGAGAGGAAAGUGAACUUUGCUAAGGAUAUUCAGCUGGUGCUGCAGAAAUCUGAGAGCGCGGCACAGGCAGUACAGGACAUGGAGAAGCUCAUCAGGGAACUCUCUACCAGCGCCACUGACACACUGGCCAUGAUCGACGCCAUCGGAGACAGCCUGCUCAGUGGCAUCAAAUGUCGUAUUGCCACCUUGAAAAAGCAACUGCAGAGUGAGCACUGCUCCAAGCUGGAGAAGUUACAGCUGGUUGCCCGGGAACUUGAAGCCCCCCGAGAGCUUUACCAGCAGAUGAAGAUGCUCCUGCAGCAUCAUGCUAACACAGUGCAAUUUCUCCACGAGCAUAAAAGGCUCAAGGGGGAGAUGAAGAGACUCGUGGAGGGCAGCGUGUCCCCCGCAGUCCCCACCAAGGACACUAUUUCCAUCAGGCGCUAUUUUCAAGAGCUCAUUAGAGGAAUAGACAUCACUGCCUUUGCCCCGCCUGAGACUGACCAAGUGCCGGCCAGCAUGGCUGGGCUCCAAGAGGCCUGGCAGGCAGGCUGUGCCAUGCAGGGCCGUCUGUCGCAACAAGUGCUUGAGGAUAUUUUGUGCAAGGCAGUGUCGGGCUCAGGGCCAAAACCAAAUCAAGAGGCAAAGCUUCCUAGGAACCCAUCUUAUGCUUACUCAGUACAAGGAAGUGAGAUUGGUUCUAGAGAAUCAACCGUGUAAGGUAUUAUUUUGGUCUCAAGAUGUCAACAACUUUUAUCAUUUUGUCUGUAACUUGAAAGUUGCUGGACUUUGCUUCUUAAAAAGAAAAUUAAAAAAUUCUACAUUGUGGUUUCUCUUU